GAUGAACGCUGGCGGCGUGCCUAAUACAUGCAAGUCGAGCGAACGGACGAGAAGCUUGCUUCUCUGAUGUUAGCGGCGGACGGGUGAGUAACACGUGGAUAACCUACCUAUAAGACUGGGAUAACUUCGGGAAACCGUAGCUAAUACCAGAUAAUAUUUUGAACCGCAUGGUUCAAAAGUGAAAGACGGUCUUGCUGUCACUUAUAGAUGGAUCCGCGCUGCAUUAGCUAGUUGGUAAGGUAACGGCUUACCAAGGCAACGAUGCAUAGCCGACCUGAGAGGGUGAUCGGCCACACUGGAACUGAGACACGGUCCAGACUCCUACGGGAGGCAGCAGUAGGGAAUCUUCCGCAAAGGGCGAAAGCCUGACGGAGCAACGCCGCGUGAGUGAUGAAGGUCUUCGGAUCGUAAAACUCUGUUAUUAGGGAAGAACAUAUGUGUAAGUAACUGUGCACAUCUUGACGGUACCUAAUCAGAAAGCCACGGCUAACUACGUG
rnacentral:rRNA from 1 species